CGCCUGACCCUUAGUGUAGACACUUAGGCCUAAGACAGCGAUUAGGACCCAGACGCGUUUAGCUAAUCCUCUCCCUGCCUCCCAGCUGCAAGAGACAGUUAAUACUUCAAAAAACUCUUUUUAAAAACAUCCUCGGCAUGUAGGAUUAAGCAUUGGAAAGUAGAACUUUUGUACACCAUUACACAGAGUGCUAAUAACAAUAUUUAAAUCCACAAACUAAGUAAUUUUGUGUGAAUCUGGGAAGGAGAUGGAGUUCAGCUUUGCUGUUUACCAGCUCCACUGAAUCAUCACUAAGUGUAUUUUAGUGAUAAUGAAUUAUAAAUAAAUUGCUAAUAAGCAAGGAAAGAAGCCAAAUUAUAAUUUAGAGUGCACUUUAAAGUGAAAUGGACCUGUAAUGAGGGAACGAUUUUGCCUUCGACCUGGAGAAAGUUGUUUAAAUUUUCUGAGCUAGUAUCUUCAUCCUGAGUUUAGUCAUCCAGCAGGGAGGUGAGCUGUAAUGUAAACAAUGUAAAACUCUUAGGGCCCAGCACCUAAUAGGUCCUCUAUAGCUAAAAUUAUUUUAAAGUAUCCACAGGUAUUUUUUUUCUAUGUAAGAUUCACUCUCUUUUUGCUUUGAAAAGGCCUUUCUCAUUUAACUCUCAUCACGUUGCGAAGUUAAAAGUGAUCAUUUUUCAACAAAAAGGUAUUUUAGUUCUCUGCAGAAUAAGAACAUAGCUCUCACGGCCUGCUUCAGGUGACCCAUGCAGGUAAGGCAGAAGAAUGAGGGAGCUAAAGAGACACUGGGUGAAAAUGAUGAAUUUUGGGGCGCUGAUUCAUGUGACCUGAAAAACGCCAUCCAUUUCCUGAUUCACCUCAAUUUCUAUUCGGAAAUAUGAAGCAUCGCUUGUGUCUGAACUAAUUAGGCCACUUGGUCUUGUCUUUCCCUUUCUCCCUAGUGCCUGGGUUUCAGCCUUGUGGCUCAGUUGCCUUCGCAGACCGGAGCAGUGUGGAGGGGCUGAAAAGGACGAUGAGGACACCACCUGGGAGAGAUGGAGAUGCUUCUGUGGGCCACAAGUGGCUUUCAAGGAAGCCUUGAUGACGUAGGCAAGCAUACCAGUCACCACCCGUGAGCUUCUCUUUUUGCCUCUGGUUUCUUUCUUUUAAAUCUGUGACAUUUAAGAACUGAAGAAAAAAGCUAGAUUGUCUGAAUGGUCCCAUCUUUUUUUUUUUCUUACUGUGAUUAAGCAUUGG
rnacentral:lncRNA from 1 species